CCCGCCCCUGCCCUGUGCCCCGGAAGCAGAUCCCACUUGCGAGCGUAGCACGUUUUUUCCAACCUUUGGUCCUUCUUCGGGGUGAGACAAGUCGUGGUGCCCCUGAGGCUCCCCUGCCUGGGACCUGGGUCAGAGUGGGGGCAUCCGGACUCGAACUGGCGCACUAAGACCGAGUGACCUCGUGUUACCGUCGCUGACACUUGUAGCUGGAGGAGUGGGACCCAGAAGAGUUAAAAGGACUCCAGCGUCCAGGUUUGCUGAGGGCCCGAUGGUGACCUCUUCGCUUUUUUUCUUUUUUUUGUACCGGGGAUCGAACUCACGACCUUGCACUUGCUUGGCAGGCGGCGAAGCCACUGAGCUAAAUCCCCGGCCCUCCUCUUUGCUCUUUGAUGUCUUGAGUCUUGGGUCUCCACCGAGGCCGCCCUAGGGCUGGACGACUGUCCUCCCGUCCCUUCCAGCACGCAGCUCUCUGUGCUAGAAGAGUGUAAAGUGACCAGAACAACCUCCUCAUCCUUUUUCCAAGUAGCGAUGGGAUCAUGAGAGGAGGCGAGGUGUGUGUGCAAGGUCUAAGUCCUGCCUCAGCCUCCCAGAGUGACAUAAUGCUGAUAAGUAAAUUGCGCAAGGUCAAAAUACUAAUAAAUAAGAAUUUGAACCUGGUUUUGAUUCCAAAGUCCAAGAGGACCCUUCAGCUGCAUCCACCCUUCAGUCCACACCAAAACUUUCGGCCAUACCAGGAGCUGUAACUGGAUGAGUUUCCAUCAUUCCUGACAGCAUUCUUUCAUCCCUGCUCGCAACACUCAACAUGUCUGUCUUCUCACCUCCAUUUCUCCAAGUGAGUUCUGAAGGAAAAUGACAGAAACCGUUCUAGAGCAGAACUCGUCCGGAUACUAAGGUGAUAACACCUGCAAGGCAGCGAGGCACCUUCCAGAUCAAUCUCCAGAUGCAGUAAUUGUCUCAGUCUCAGUUUCCCAAUGUUGGACCGAGUACACUUUUGCAUAGGAAAGCAGCAUACAAGUGGGGGUCUGUAUUAAUUUAAACCUAAUCUUGAUAAAUAGUUACUAUAUUGUCAUUGUCUCAAGAUCAAAAUUGCUGUUAAUAUUUCUAUAUUUUGUAGAGGGAAAAGAGAGAGGAAAAAAAUAGUUAUUUUAAUCUAGCAUGGCCAGUGUAGCUAAAAGUGUGCCUUGAUUUAGUAUAAUUGUUUUAUGUGUUUUAUAUGUUUUUGGCUAGUUAAUCUGGCUGUUAAUCUGUGUUUAUAGUUAACUUGGUAAAGACAUAAAAUAAAUAAAUCUAAUGCUGGCCAAAAGAGAGAAAAAAUAUUUUUUAAUUAGGGUGGAAGGGAAGGAGAAAAAAAGAAUUGAGAUGUAUUAUAUGAAUAUACUGAUACCCCACAACAAGUAUAAUCAUAAUAUACUGCAAACAUGCACUAAUAAAAAAUUUUUAAAAUAUACCUGUGUUUUGUUACUGCAACGGGUAAGUUCCGCCACGCCCGGCUUGGACAGCUCUUCUUGCUGUGGUACUGAGCAGGAAGAGGCUGGUCAAGGUGGGCACUCACUUACUAGUGGGAUUAGAGGAUGCACAGCCCUCCUCUGCCUCGUGAUCACAACCCUCGGCUUAACAGUGUGCCCAAAAUUCCCAGUUGCCCAUCUUCUGGGGGAACAUAAAGCCUUGAAAUCUCAUCUUUGAUAAUUGAUACUCGGAAUGAACAUGUUGCUGUUCUCCAAUAGCAUAGUCCACCACGCCCGGCUUGGACAGCUCUUCUUGCUAUGGUACUGAGCAGGAAGAGGCUGGUCAAGGUGGGCACUCCCUUACUAGUGGGAUUAGAGGAUGCACAGCCCUCCUCUGCCUCGUGAUCACAACCCUCGGCUUAACAGUGUGCCCAAAAUUCCCAGUUGCCCAUCUUCUGGGGGAACAUAAAGCCUUGAAAUCUCAUCUUUGAUAAUUGAUACUCGGAAUGAACAUGUUGCUGUUCUCCAAUAGCAUGGUCCACCACGCCCGGCUUGGACAGCUCUUCUUGCUAUGGUACUGAGCAGGAAGAGGCUGGUCAAGGCGGGCACUCCCUUACUAGUGGGAUUAGAGGAUGCACAGCCCUCCUCUGCCUCGUGAUCACAACCCUCGGCUUAACAGUGUGCCCAAAAUUCCCAGUUGCCCAUCUUCUGGGGGAACAUAAAGCCUUGAAAUCUCAUCUUUGAUAAUUGAUAUUCGGAAUGAACAUGUCGCUGUUCUCCAAUAGCAUAGUACCAGCAAGUGUACCUGGUUAACCAGCUGGGUCAACUCCCGAGGCACUAAAGCAGCAUCUAUAGAACACAGGACAGCAUCUUUGCACCUGACUCCUUUACUCAGUAAGCUCUGGAGCUAGAGAGAAAGGGAAUGAGAAUGCAGGACCUGUACUGGAAGGGAGGUUCAAGCCAAGAGCCACUAUGGAAAGUCUAGAGCACCUAGAAAAAUGGCACCAAGAACCAGUAAAAUUCAUG
ensembl:lncRNA